rnacentral:ncRNA from 1 species
GAGUAGCCGUGUGCGAUGAAAGUCGCAAGCACGGUUUCGGAUGGGAGGGGUGUGAUGGUAACAUCCACCUCGAC